AGGACGAACGCUGGCGGCGUGCCUAACACAUGCAAGUCGAACGAGGUCCAACCGGUAGCAAUACCGGUGAAGACCAAGUGGCGAACGGGUGAGUAGCACGUGAGCAACCUACCCCGAAGACCGGGACAACACCGGGAAACCGGUGCUAAUACCGGAUAUCCCCACCGAGUCGCAUGGCUUGGUGAGGAAAUGGAUUCCGCUUCGGGAGGGGCUCGCGGCCUAUCAGCUAGUUGGUGAGGUAACGGCUCACCAAGGCUUCGACGGGUAGCUGGUCUGAGAGGACGAUCAGCCACACUGGGACUGAGACACGGCCCAGACUCCUACGGGAGGCAGCAGUGGGGAAUCUUGCACAAUGGGCGAAAGCCUGAUGCAGCAACGCCGCGUGAGGGACGAAGGCUUUCUGAGUUGUAAACCUCUUUCAGCAGGGACGAUGAUGACGGUACCUGCAGAAGAAGCCCCGGCAACUACGUGCCAGCAGCCGC
rnacentral:rRNA from 1 species